AUGGAGGGAACCCACUCGGUUUCUGCCUAGCCCUAUUCUCUCAAAACCCAAUCCCUAAUGACGCCUCUGCCUCUUUCUUUCACACUUGGUUUCUCAGUUCCCUCUCCAUCAAUCUUUCUCUCGCUCUCUCUCUCCCAGAGUCUUUCUACCCUCUCUCCGUCGCGUGAGCUACUGGAGCACACCACGCCAGAGGAGCAGGCUACUGAGAAUUCAUGGUUCCCGUUAUCGAGUUUUCAUAGAUUUGGGAUAAUAUCAUCUCUGGAUGACAUUUUGGGAUAACCAUGUUUGCUGAAUUCAUCAAGUAACGUUUUUGGUACUUAUGGUUUUAAAGGUUACGCAAGUGUUGCCGAGGCCAUUGCUUCUACUGAUGCCGAGGAUGAUUCCUCAGGUUCCGAUGAGGUUCAGGAGUUGUUAGACGAGAUGGAUACAUGAUUGGGGUCUUGUUGCCUUGGAACCAAUUGAGGCUGAGGACUUCGUUAUUGAAUAUGUUGGGGAGCUAAUUCGUCUUCGGGUUGAUGCAACAAAACGUGGUGGGAUUGCUAGGUUUAUAAACCAUUCUUGUGAGCCCAACUGCUACACCGAAGUUAUAAGUGUUGAGGGUGAAAAGAAAAUUUUUAUUUACGCUAAACGCCACAUAGCAGCUGGUGAUGAAAUCACAUAUAACUACAAGUUUCCUUUGGAGGAGAAAAAGAUUCCUUGCAACUGUGGUUCUAGAAGUGCCAUGGAUCAUUGAACUAAAUGACGACCUUUGAUUCUCUGGUUAUUUUCCCAAUCGCCCUGUCUCCUGACACUGUGUUGGCAGUCCACUUGUAAGAGAGGUUGCAACAAGAAUUACUGGACAAGCCUGGUACUCUUCCAUUUGAUGAGGAUAAUUGGCCUUCUGUGAUGUUUGCAAUGGCAGGAGGGGUGGUACUUAGCCUUGGAAAUCUCUCAACUCAGUAUGCUUGGGAUUUUGUUGGCUUAUCAGUCACAGAAGUGAUCACUGCAAGCAUAACAAUUGUUAUAAGUCCUUUCUUUCAUUCUCUCUCUGACCAUUUCUAAAUGUUGAUGUUUGUCUGUGUUGCUCUUAUAGAUACUAAUUUUUUUGGUUCUGUUGCGAUCUUUAAUGGUGACAGGAACAACCUUGAAUUACUUUUUAGACAAUAGAAUUAAUGGAGUCGAGAUCCUUUUCCCUGCUGUUGGCUGCUUCUUGGUUGCAGUUUGCCUUGCUUCUACUGUCCACUCAUCUAAUGCAGCUGAUAAUAAAGAAAAGCUUGAAGGUUUUUCAUCAAAAGAGGGGAGAAAAAUGUCUCUUUCUCCAUCAAUUGGAGGAGAAAAGGAUAUUUAAUUUUGAAGGAUUUGUGUUGGGCAGCUGUAGAAUAUUUUGUGCUGAAAGUAGUAACUUUUCAAUAUGUUGAAUAUUUAAGACUACUUGAAUACUUAAAGAACAUUUUGUUGUUGAUGAUAGUGUUGAAUGUUUUAAACUAAUUUUUGGAUUGUUAAUACAAUGUUGAAUGUUUUUACUUUUUGUUA